rnacentral:rRNA from 1 species
GACGAACGCUGACGGCGUGCUUAACACAUGCAAGUCGAAGGGAGUGGCGAACGGGUGAGUAACACGUGAGUAACCUGCCCUUUUCUUUGGGAUAAGCCUGGGAAACUGGGCCUAAUACUGGAUGGAUUGGGAUGGGCUCGCGGCUUAUCAGCUUGUUGGUGGGGUGAUGGCUUACCAAGGCUUUGACGGGUAGCCGGCCUGAGCGGGUGGACGGGCACUGUGAGACGGAGAUACGGCCCAGAGUCGUACGGGAGGGAGCAGUGGGGGAUAUUGCACAAUGGACGAAAGUCUGAUGCAGCGAGGGCGUGUGGGGGAUGAAGGCCGUCGGGUUGUAAACGCCUUUCGCCCGCGGAAUGGUAGUGGGUAAAGAAGCGCCGGCUAACUACGUGCCAGCAGCCGCGGUAAUAC